UUGUUUUGUUUUGUUUUGUUUUGUUUUUUGGUUGGGAACUUUUGUUUGGUAAUUGAACAUCUAUGGUACUACGCAUUGAACCACAUAAAAUCUAUUCUCCAGGGGGGUUGCCUUUUGUCGUACAACAGCCCACGGCCACAGAAUAAAUAUGCGGUGGCCGCCAUCUCAUAGCUAUAGUCGAUUACAUUUUCUGGCCAAUAAACGCGCUGUAUUGGCUGGAUGCCCUGCCUUCUGGCCAGUCGACAGCAUAUUUUGCAUAAAAAAUGGCUACACCUUGCACCGUUGAGUGGCCUUUCUGGUACUGAUCUGUAUUUUGUGUCACGGCCGUAAAAAUUGCAAGUUGAAAUUGACAAUGAAAUUGACAAAACGGCUUCGGUCGCCAUUUUGAAAAUCGCUUAGGUGAUUAUCGCGUAAUAGUCACCUCAACGGCAACCAAGCAGCAUAAAGAAUUUUAAAUAAUAAUACUAAUAAUACUGACUAAUGUGAAAAUGUAAAAGUUGAAAAUGCAAAAGUUGAAAAUACAAAAGUUGAAAAUGUAAAAGUUGAAAAUGUAAAAGUUGAAAAUGUAAAAGUUGAAAAUGCAAAAGUUGAAAAUGUAAAAGUUGAAAAUGCAAAAGUUGAAAAUGUAAAAGUUGAAAAUGUAAAAGUUGAAAAUGUAAAAGUUGAAAAUGUAAAAGUUGAAAAUGUAAAAGUUGAAAAUGUAAAAGUUGAAAAUGCAAAAGUUGAAAAUGUAAAAGUUGAAAAUGUAAAAGUUGAAAAUGUAAAAUUUGAAAAUGCAAAAGUUGAAAAUGUAAAAGUUGAAAAUGUAAAAGUUGAAAAUGUAAAAGUUGAAAAUGUAAAAGUUGAAAAUGCAAAAGUUGAAAAUGU
rnacentral:lncRNA from 1 species